rnacentral:rRNA from 1 species
GACGAACGCUGGCGGCGUGCUUAACACAUGCAAGUCGAACGGAAAGGCCCUGCUUUUGUGGGGUGCUCGAGUGGCGAACGGGUGAGUAACACGUGAGUAACCUGCCCUUGACUUUGGGAUAACUUCAGGAAACUGGGGCUAAUACCGGAUAGGAGCUCCUGCUGCAUGGUGGGGGUUGGAAAGUUUCGGCGGUUGGGGAUGGACUCGCGGCUUAUCAGCUUGUUGGUGGGGUAGUGGCUUACCAAGGCUUUGACGGGUAGCCGGCCUGAGAGGGUGACCGGCCACAUUGGGCCGAGGAUACGGCCCGGACUCCUACGGGAGGAAGCGGUGGGAAAUAUUGCACAAUGGGCGGAAGCCUGAUGCAGCAACGCCGCGUGCGGGAUGACGGCCUUCGGGUUGUAAACCGCUUUCGCCUGUGACGAAGCGUGAGUGACGGUAAUGGGUAAAGAAGCACCGGUGAACUACGU